rnacentral:rRNA from 1 species
GAAACUAACAAGGAUUCCCCUAGUAACGGCGAGUGAAGCGGGAAGAGCACAAAUUUAAAGUCUACCUGUUUUUCAGGUCGAGUUGUAAUUUGAAGAAACGUUUUUGACAUUCCGUGUUGGGAUAAAUCCUUUGGGAUAAGGUAUCAUGGAGGGUGAGAAUCCCGUGUAUACCAACUGUAGGGUGUUAUUUAAUACGUUUUCUAAGAGUCGAGUUGUUUGGGAAUGCAGCUCUAAAUGGGUGGUAAAUUUCACCUAAUGCUAAAUAUAAGCGAGAGACCGAUAGCGAACAAGUACCAUGAGGGAAAGAUGAAAAGAACUUUGAAAAGAGAGUUAAAUAGUACGUGAAAUUGUUGAAAGGGAAACGAUUGAAGUCAGUCAUGCUAGCGGGAAUCAACUUAGGGGAAACUCUAAGUGCACUUCACGUUUGGCAGGUCAGUAUCGAUUUUGAAUAUCAUAAAAUGAUUGGAGGAAGGUAGCUCCUUUGGGAGUGUUAUAGCCCUUGAUAGAUGUGAUGUUUGGGAUCGAGGAUUGCAGCGGAUACCCUUUGGGCUAGCAGCCUGAUCUCUAACUGGUGUUGGGUUACGGACAGCAUGCUGACCGUGAUUUAAUUACUGGUUAAAGGGUUAGAGCGAGUGUAAAUUCGUUAAGGAUGCUG